UUGCCACCGGAUGUAUAUCUCCCGAUCUACCGGAUAUGAACAAAAAUUCAUCAACAUGAUGUCAUAAAAUCAUUGUUUAUAUCAUACUGAUCAUUUAGCGUCGGCUUUAUCUAGCAAUUUACUGCGGUAUUCGUGAAUUUCGAUUAUUGUUAACCCGGAAAAAGCUAAGAACUACGAUUCUGAAGAAUGCGCCGGAGAACACACCUUCCUAUCUAGCAAUACUUACUGACUAAUCAUUUUUCACUUUGCUCUGCCUAUACCUGAAACUUCUUAUCAGUCAUCUUGGGAAGAAUUAUCUUGCAAGAGAUGGCUUGCAUUUAAAAAAAUGGGUUGCUAAGCUCCUUGCGGAUUGCAUUAUUCCAUACUUAACAGGAUGCAUUUGAGCUGAUGUAUUUUCUAAAAAGUUCUUAUCAGUCAUCUUGGGAAGAAUUAUCUUGCAAGAGAUGGCUUGCAUUUAAAAAAAUGGGUUACUAAGCUCUUUGUGGAUUGCAUUAUUCCAUACUUAACAGGAUGCAUUUCAGCUGAUAUAUCUUCUAGAAAGCAUUUGUUUCUUUUGCUUUGCCAAAGCAAGAGUCUACAUGGUCAGUUUCUCGGCCAAAGUAAGAGUCUGCAAGGCCAAUGCAACAGUCAGCUGUGAUGCUCAAGAAAGAAAUUUCUUCUUUGCUGUGUUUUACAGAUAACAUUCAAUUUGUACUUCCUGUGAUGCCAUGCAUUCCAUUCUGAAGUUCCUUUAUGAAAAAAAAAAUAGCAUCAGGAUAAGUCCAUUCAAGAAAUCAUCCAAUCAAGAAUUCAAGAAAUAAAGCAGUAAGUGACAGCUAAGAAAUGGAACAUUUUCCAUGCUGUAGCUGUGUUGUAUAUAAAAGUGAAAAUGGGUCAUUUGGAUAAUAUGAAAAGAAUUGUAUUAUAUUUGUUUAGUGUACAUUCUUAUGGGGGGGGAGGGCAUAGAAAUCUGUAUAAAAA